GACGAACCGUGCGAACGUUAUUCGGAAUCACUGGGCUUAAAGGGCGCGUAGGCGGGCCACCAAGUCAGGGGUGAAAUCCCACGGCUCAACCGUGGAAGUGCCCUUGAUACUGGUGGCCUCGAGGGAGGCAGGGGCGUGCGGAACUUUGGGUGGAGCGGUGAAAUGCGUAGAUAUCUGGAGGAACACCGGUGGCGAAGGCGGCAUCCUGGACCGGCAUUGACGCUGAGGCGCGAAAGCCAGGGGAGCAAACGGG
rnacentral:rRNA from 1 species